rnacentral:rRNA from 1 species
GACGAACGCUGGCGGCGUGCUUAACACAUGCAAGUCGAACGGGCCUGUCUUCUUUUUGGGGGUGGGUUGAGUGGCGAACGGGUGAGUAUCACGUGAGUAACCUGCCCUUCGGUCCUGGAUAACCGCUUGAAAGGGCGGCUAAUACGGGGUGGUCCGGUUGGUCCGCAUGGGCUGGUCGGGAUAGAUUCACUGUUUUUGGUGUUUCGGCGGGGGAUGGGCUCGCGGCCUAUCAGCUUGUUGGUGGGGUGAUGGCCUACCAAGGCGGUGACGGGUAGCCGGCCUGAGAGGGUGGGCGGCCACACUGGGACUGAGAUACGGCCCAGACUCCUGCGGGAGGCAGCAGUGGGGGGUAUUGCACAAUGGGCGGAAGCCUGAUGCAGCGACGUCGCGUGGGGGAUGGAGGCCUUCGGGUUGUGAACCUCUGUUUCCGGUGGUGAAGGCCCUGUCCGUGUGGUGGGGUUGACGGUAGCCGGGGAUGAAGCGCCGGCUAACUACGUG